CCCUUAGAUGUCCUGGGCUGCACGCGCGCUACACUGAUGUGUCCAGUAAGCACCUAACCUCUUCCGAAAGGAACGGGUAACCUUUGCAAAGCACAUCGUGAUGGGGAUAGAUUAUUGCAAUUAUUAGUCUUGAACGAGAAAUUCCUAGUAAGCACAAGUCAUCAGCUUGUGUUGAUUACGUCCCUGCCCUUUGUACACACCGCCCGUCGCUCCUACCGAUUGAAUGUUCCGGUGAGCUCUUCGGACUGCGCGGUCUGCAGUUUCUGCGUUCCGUGCGGAAAGUUGCGCAAACCUUAACAUUUAGAGGAAGGAGAAGUCGUAACA
rnacentral:rRNA from 1 species